CCCCUUUAUGACGUCACCACCAGCCGCUCUGACCGUAUAUAUUUGUCGGCGGAGGAAAACCGAGAAGUAAACUUGGGGAAAACCGUCGUUCAGGAGACGGAGGAGAGAUGGGCAGUUUCACUCCUUCAUUUCCUCCAUCAUUCAGCACUCUUUAUUUAAUGUGUUCAUUGUGUUCAUCAUUAACACAUUCAUCAUCGCCCUGGAGGAAGAGUACAGUGAUUCAGGAGUGUUCUGGGGAUAGGGUUGUCCCGAUUCUUGUUCAUGAAUGUCCCGAUUCAUGAACACAUUCACCGUCGCCCCGGAGGAAGAGUACAGUAACUCAGGAGUGUUCCAGGGAUAGGGUUGUCCCGAUUCUUGUUCAUGAAUGUCCCGAUUCAUGAACACAUUCACCGUCACCCCGGAGGAAGAGUACAGUAACUCAGGAGUGUUCCAGCCUACGAUACCCCAUCAUCAAGCAAUUACUGCCAUUUCAGCGCACCUUUGCUGUUCCUUGGGGAUUAUGCUGGUAACAUUGAUGGCACAACGUCCUGUCUCCUGGGCUUAAAAAAAAAAUGUUCUUGAGGUCCAGUUCCACUUCAUUCAUUUUGGAGAAUAGCAGUCCUGGUGAAGCACUUGUUCUCACCACAGGAAAGGACAGCCGACAGGUCAAACUACACUCAUAUAGAGGAGAAAAUACCACUGGAUGGGGAAGAAACACAACUAGCAUCUUUUAAGACCACUUUUGGUUAGUUAGUUAAAUCUGCUCCUUUAGAGCAAAUCACUGUAUAUUGUGGUUGAUUAUAAAUUCUUGUGUUUCUUCAACAUCACUCCAGAGAGGGGCACAAAAAUUGAAACAAGGAAAAACAAGAAAAAACUGUCAGUCCUCACCCUCAUCGCAGAUCUCUCUGAUCACGAGUGGAGAGGGACAUGUUAAGGAUGGAUUUAUCCCACUGAACUCUUAUACAGUUCUAGCUGUACGGAACAAUAUACACUGUUAACUGUUGACAUUCAGAAUAGUGUUCUUUGAUGUUUUUAGUUAGCUUUAGUGUUUUAAUAAGCAGUGUUUGGUUCUGUUAAAUUUAUGUGAACUGGCUUAUUGUACAAUUACUGUUUGGCAAACAGUAAUUUAGUUCUUUAAGAUUUUACAGUACAUACAGGGAGUUUCCCAAUUUUGGCUAUUGCCAGAAGCAACUUUUCAGAAGGUUUGGUCACUUUUUUAUUUGAAAUAGUCUGUGACCCAUGCAGGGAGUUUGCAGAGCUUAUUGGCUAACAAUGCAUUGAAGUGAAUAAAACGGUCUCUGAAGACCACUUGAGCCUUAGUUUCAGUGCUUUUGUGACACUCCAGAGUAGGUUGAAGGAUGCUGGCAUUGCUAAGAUUUAAUAAUCUCCUCUAAGGUAAGUAAACUGAGCACGUCUAACAAAUGUUUUAACAUUUUAAGAGUAAAAUGUCUUAAUUAUCUAUACACACUGCUCUUGUAUAAAUUCUGUUUAUUACAAGUAAGAAUAAGCCUUUCGCUCUUGCCACCUUUCAUGCAUUGCAUUCAUACUCUUAUGAGCGGUUAUAGGCUUGGAAGGAACCACUUGCUGGCCUUUGUGGCAACCAGGGAAACGAUGCAGUAGUAAUAGACAGGAAACACAGCGGAGAGAGGGGAUGAUAUGCAGAAAAGGGCCCAAGCUGGAAUGGAACCUUGGAUGCUGCAAUAACAAUAUGUAUGUGUUCUACCAGGGCUUAUUACGUCUACCAGUGGUUGUACUUGACAUGGAUUUCGUCAACCUCUGUCCUACCAUUCUGCGCUUCUCAUCAGAUACCACACGGUGCAGCUGGAAAAAAGGCGAGGAUGUCAACUUUGCAGGAAUGUGCGAGCACUUUGAUUUGUCAUCAGCGUUAUCAACGCUCAGCAUCGAAAAUCAUGGAUGCUGCAUCCUCUGGGAUGAAAAAGGAGGUAGGGAGAUUGAGGGAGAAACUGUGGAGACCCCAGAGAGGAUCCUCGCCAGUCCACAGCAAACACCUGACUGACAAGUUGUGAUGAUGAUGACAGCACCUGCUCAAAGCUCCCGUUUUCUGAACAUCAUACCCUGACUGUAUUGGACUCUAUCCCACCGCUCUGCAUUCAAGUCUGAACCCAACGUCUUGGACACCAGUCUUGUCAAGGGUAAUUAGAGAGAGGAUGGUGCCAGCCCACAGUGAACAAACACCUGAUGGGCAACAUGUGAGUCCUCAAGCAGAACUGGUGACAAUACAUGCCUUAAGUUCCAGUUUCUUGAACAUCAUGUCCAUGUGAGAGUCUGUCCCAUGUUGAACACCCUCUUCAGUCAAGUGGCUAUUUGUUUCCAUGAGGUUUAUUCAUUCCACCAUGGAUUAUCCUAUAUAUGGACACAUGCUGGUUUUUUUCAAGAUCUCAACACGAAUUUUGAAAUUCUGGCAACCACAGCUGCCGGGACUCCACAGGAAACCAGAGAGCUCAUCCGGUUCCGAGCAGAGAAUAAGCAUUUUCUUCAAUCAAAAAGUGCUGCAAAACCACUUUGGGCGACCUGAAAACUCCCAAAGCAGGGUCUGGAACAGAUGCUGGUGAAGUAACAGCUGCCACAUUGCAGUUUUUUGAAGACAUGCAUGAGGUGCUGGGUGCCAGGCCUUCAAUGGACCCUCCUGUUGUGGUCGUAUUUUUUGGUCCUGAUGCUGAUCCCACAACAAUACUUAAGAUGGUCGAGGCCACGAGUGCCAGCACCACCUCAAGCCCCUCUUCCAUGACAGCCAGUACAUCAGUAGCCUCUCCUAUGGCCCCAAGCCCCCCAACCCCUUCACCAAGAGCAGAAGCGCCAUGAGGAGAGUGAGGAGCCCCUGCAGACCAUGCAUGGCUCUUUUGCUGAGGCGGAAAUCCUGCUUUAGCUCUACAUUAAAUCACAAACGCAAGAUGGGCAUGUGAUCCAGUUUGCAGCACAACAUAGGAUGACCAGUCUGGAAAAGAAAAUGAGCUCACAUCAUUACUCUCAACUGGAAAGAUUUUUAACCGGCUCUGGUUGUGAUGCUGGCUAAAGCCAUGAAGAGAGCUGUGUAUGUGAUGAGUUUGGUGUUCUUCAUGUUCAUCUUUGCUGUUGCUGGAGUUCUCUAUUUCGGAGAGCAGGCUUCAGGGGACCUCGAGCACUGGGGGGAUUUGGGGUCCGCCCUGCUCACCAUCUUUGGCUUAGUAACACUGGACGGCUGGGUGGAUCUGCUGAAGAAAGUAGAUAGUUCAGGAGUGACCUACAGUCGGCUCUUCCUCAUCAUCUUCAUACUGAUAGGCCACUUCAUUUUCUUCAACAUGUUCGUGGGUUUGGUCAUCAUGGAGGUUGAGCGCAUGACUAAAGCCCGUGAGGAGGAGUCUCUGCAGGAGCGGAAGGCAGCGCAGAAAAGAAAGAAGCAGAAAAUAAACAAUGAAGCAGCUGAUUGGGAGUCAGGUGAGUGCAGGUUGAGUCAGGGGAGUGAAAGUAGAGUUCUACACAAAACUGAGUGGGAAACACCUGUAAAGAAAUAAGAAGCUUUUUUAAUGACAAAGCACUUUGAAAUGAGGCAGUGGUGUUUCACGUGUCUCAGAAGAAAGCAGGUGCUAGCCUUCACUCUCCCAGCUUGGUAACAUUGUUUGAUAAGUGGAGAACUAC